GGAUGGACGAGUUCAAUUCUGCAGAAAAGCUUGUUGCCUCGCUCGUGAAAAAUUCGUGUAUGGAAAUGAUGGCUGGGGACACACACUUUGUCUGUUUAGGAGACAAAACCGAAGCGAGUUGCUGAGUGUCCACCAGCUCCAAUUUCAUCUCCAAGAAGUAGAAAUAGCAACACCCACUAUCAGAUCUUCAGUGAGAUGUAGACCCAGUGGAGUUCCCAAUGACUGGCACAGAGUCUAGCAACUAGUGGCUUUCACCAACAGGAGCUGGUUUUAAGACUUCUAUCACUGACCCCUGGCUCU
ensembl:lncRNA